UACGUAGGGGGCAAGCGUUGUCCGGAAUCAUUGGGCGUAAAGCGCACGUAGGCGGUCCAGCAAGUCGGGUGUGAAAGCCCUCGGCUUAACCGAGGAAGUGCAUUCGAAACUACAGGACUUGAAUACUGGAGAGGAUCGCGGAAUUCCCGGUGUAGAGGUGAAAUUCGUAGAUAUCGGGAGGAACACCAGUGGCGAAGGCGGCGAUCUGGACAGAUGUUGACGCUGAUGUGCGGAAGCGUGGGGAGCAAACAGG
rnacentral:rRNA from 1 species